UACGAAGGGGGCUAGCGUUGCUCGGAAUUACUGGGCGUAAAGCGCACGUAGGCGGCUUCUUAAGUCGGAGGUGAAAUCCUGGAGCUCAGCUCCAGAACUGCCUUCGAUACUGGGAAGCUCGAGUCCGGGAGAGGUGAGUGGAACUGCGAGUGUAGAGGUGAAAUUCGUAGAUAUUCGCAAGAACACCAGUGGCGAAGGCGGCUCACUGGCCCGGUACUGACGCUGAGGUGCGAAAGCGUGGGGAGCGAACAGG
rnacentral:rRNA from 1 species